ACGUCGUGAUUUUUGUUAAGUGAUCUGAUCAUCUUUCUCCUUCAGGGUUGGCGAUUACUCCUUAAUUUAUCGUAGCGUAAUUAGUCGUGUUGUGUAAUGUUUGCGAAAGAACAGUUUAUCACGCGACUACAUAGUAGACGGCAGUUGGCGCUUGAGAUUUCCAUCGAUUGUUGUCCAUUCGCUGGUCAAGUUAUAAUAAACCCCGGGGUCCUACAAGGACGUCUUUGGUACGAGUUUGGCGUUGAGUUCCUGUUCAAAUGGUAAAAGCUUCACGCAUGAUAUAGCUGCUCUCUUUAGCAACAGGUAUGCUGGAGGUUUUUGUUACGGCGUGGUGGGAGCUUGGUGAGUGGCUGGCCCGGCCGCCUGGUACCGGUGGGCAGUUACUGACCAGAAGUCUCGAGAGCUUUGCCGCGUUACUUACUUCGGCAUUGCAUUGUAGUAUCUAUAAUUACGACGUUAAAGGAGAUGGUCUUCGAUGUAUUAUGGUUCUGUCGUGACCAUGUAAUGGUUUAAAAUGUGGCGGCAAGAUUAUUAGAAUAGCUGGGCUCCUGAACUUUUAACGACGCAUCGGUAGGCUUUUACGCUCUUAUAACGGAAGAAAGCGAGAGAAGAGUGGGAAGACUUUUUUUUGAGUUUGUUAACGUUGGUGCGUAGGUUUGUGCCCACCUACGCGAGUUUCUGCAUGUGAUACUAUGUUGUAACUGCCCUAACAAAGACUGCUGUACUGUCUUGUCAUUUACUUUGCUAAUGUUUAAGAGAUCUCUCAUGAAGAGAGGAUAGUUUUUCCUACUGUGGGAGAUACUAGAAGCUGCAUUAGAUAAUGGACGCUGCAUUAGAAGAUUCUUGGAUUUACAGGAGUUAAGCGUACUUAGACAUAAUUUCUCGACUAGAUAUGUCUAUGCAUGAUUUAGAUGUUAUAAAGAAUCCAGAACUUGCUGUUGUCACUUUAUUAUGUAUUAUCGUAAAGUAUUGUUCUCUAAGUAUUAGUACUUAAUAUCAAUUAAUAAUUUUUAAAAUAAAUUCAUGUUCAGUUUUUAUCUAUAAGCCUUUGUUGUACUUGGGUGUCUAUGGAACACUGAGAACGGAGAUUUUUGUAUUAAGAGCCUGGUUAUGGGAUAAGACCAGUGACUAUGUACUCCAGUAAUGAGUUUGUUACUCAGAAACACAGGCAUUAAGUUUGAUUCUAAUGAACCCUAGCAAUGGGCUCGUAAUGUUACUCAUGAACACUGACAAUGAGUUUUAUGAAUCCCACGAAUACUGGCAAUUUUGUGAUACCACCUAUGUCCGUUGUAAACUUAAUUUAUUUAACAGAAGUUCGGUCUUGGAGUAAAUGGUACUACCUGCACACUGAUUAUGGUGCUGUUCAUGAUCACUGAGACAUCAUACUAUCCUUGAAUAAGUUCAAUUCUUUGUGGGGCUGUUCAUAACAAAACGGGAUCAGCAAUGCUUCCUUGAACAGUGCGUCGUGGAACUGUUCACGAAUAUAGGCAGUGAGUUUGGAUUUCUAUCCAUAAGGCUAGAGUUUCCAAUGGUAUCCAUCAACAAUGCUUUUGAGUAUGUGAAUUAUGCAUUAACGUAAUGAGGGUGAGAGUUGGAUGCAGUUGUUGGUACCCAUUAAUUAAAUGAAUGCAAUGCUGUAAUGAACGUCAGUGUUUGCCGAGCUAUUCAUGGCAAUCGGGUGUUUGACCGUAUUUACUAUAAAGCGCCUGUGAUGUUUAAAAGGUCAUCAGGCAGUUAAUGCGUGUACCAAUGUAGCCAACAUUUUGAAAUGCAGUAUACUAAGGUAAGAGCUGUUGAUGUAGUCUGUCUGAUGUUGGUUGGUGGCAAAAAAUCAUCAAUAAUUUACUUCCUCCUUAAUAAGAGCUCGCAUUACACAACUUCGUUGCUUUAAAGUUUGGCGUUUUCAUUAACUUUUCUGAUUUCUUGAAACUUCAAAGGUGUUUAUUUCUUUUUAUUUUUAGAAUACGACUUUGAUCAUAGUAUGUGGGUUAUCUUAGUUUUCAUUUUGGCGAUUUUCAGAAUAGUAAAUUUUCCAAGAAUUCUUAUACAAAUUUUUAGUGGGUUGUAUGUAUAGUGAAAAUUUUAAACUUUGAAAUGGCGUCAGAAGCAGAGUAGCGUUGUAAAGUAUGUAUAUUUGUUAUACAUCCUUAAUGCAUAAUAUGGUACAAAAUGUACAAGAUAAUAUUACUCCAGACGGUAUCAAGUUUUCAGGGGAAUAACCUUUUUUGGGAAUUGAUUGGAGAGACUUAAUGUUUUUAAUCGUUAAAAGUAAUAUAUAUCGUUCCUGUCUCAAGAAAUUUCAGUGUUAACGUUCUCUUACGGAGUUGCCGAGUAAUUGUGGCAAGAACAUUUUUUGCUGCCGUUAUUUUUCUGUGGCACAACUUACUGGAGGAACUAGAAUUCAAGGAAAUGUGUAGAUAGAUGUAGGCUUCUGUUAAUUUAAUUUCUAAAUUUUCCAUGCUGCGCUUCUCAUUAAAAUCCUGAUAGGUGUGUUAAUUAGGUUCCUCGGAUAUUGUGCAUUG